rnacentral:misc_RNA from 1 species
AAGUCGUACCAAGGUUUCCUGCGGAAGGAUCAUUAACACGUAUCCAAACGUUAAACAACCCCGUGAACAUACAACCUGCUCUGGUCGCCCGCUCGCAUGGCAAUCCCAGUAAAUCAAGCCCCGGAAAGUUUUUGAUUUGGGACCUCUGUGCGCGUGAGAAAAACUGACAGCGAUUCAUAGAAGCGGUAGGUCAAGUGACACAAGAUUGCUAGAGGUCGACCACCGACCGGCUAACGUGUAUACUGAGCUUAAAAUCGCUCCCUUCCGAACCCCACUUUAUUGCCUUGCCUGUAAGCAUCCAUACGGAUGGGCAGGCCCCCCGAACAACUGUUAACAAUGGAUAUCUUGGUUCUC